GGAACAGGGGCGAAUAUGAGACAAAGCGGAAGUCUCACAGCAAAUGUUUAAAUAAAUAGAGCGGUUACCAAGCUCUGAGGUGUUAUAUUUUUAACGACAGUAUGCUUACGAAGCACGAUCCUUUUAAAACUGGUAAUAGACUAUCAAGUUAUUUGAAUGGCAUCCCAUUGCCAAUGAUAAAAACAGUGAUUUUGGUCCAUGAGGUAGAAAUUCAAGAUCAAUUGCCUGCACUUGAAGGUAAAAGGAGUACAAGGCGCUUUUCUGGUUGUCUUUCACUUGAAGAUGACACAAGGAAAAGAGACGAAAAAUAAAAGACACCCAGCGCUAUCUUGGAUAGAAAAGAUUUGAUUUAUGGAAGCUACACUGACGCACAGGCCAGUCUAGUUUUAUCAUGGCGCCCUCAUGACACAUAUAGAUUUUACUCUGUCUAACGCCAGACGAUUUUACUCGUCAGUGGGGAAACCCUUGGCAGUGACAGGGUUAACAGAAGAAGACAAAGAGAGGAAUGGUGUUAGAUCUAUAACGAGCAAAUAAAUUAGACGUAAAGUGCGCUUCUUCAAGGCAAGAUUUUGAUAGAGAUAUGUCUGUGCAGCUUGGCCCCACAUCGUGAGGCUACAAGACAAGUAAGGAACUACACGGAUUGAUAAAGGGUUAACAAUGUUUUAGGAUCAACAAUGUGUUGUCGUUCUUCAUUUGCGUUUAAUGUACACCAUUCCUUUAUCUUUCCAAUCCGAGUUUAAAUGCUAUUGAUCUUUGUACACUGAUACGUAAUUUCGUGUAUGAUCCUUCGAAACGAUUGAUCGUCAUGUCAAACUGCGGUACCUAUUGGAGCGUCCGUUACUUGCCUUGUCACCUUUAAAUGCUGGAUGAGUCUCUUUUCCCAGCCUUUUUUUUCUACGCUGUCGUAAUAGUCUAAAAUCGUCUGACAUCUCAGAGCUUUCGGGAGUCGUUUCAGGCUGAUUCCAUCAAUUCGUAUGACGAUCACCGCUGAGUCUCCUAAAUCAAAGCUUCGCUGCAAGGCGAAGUCUAAUUCUUGUCGAGGGUAUUUGCCGUUUGCAAAAUUCUUCGAAUAAACAGCCAGGACCUUACGGCUUUUAUAGACACCCUCUGCCAUACUUUGUACAAAGGCCUUGCCGAGCGGAAAGUGUAAAUAGUCCACCAUGUACUUCACGUCGUUGUUGCCCAACAGAGGUAUGAGUUCUUGGUCCACGAAUGCGGAAUCCUUUCUGCUGUAGGUCACGAACACAUCGUGAUCAAAUUCGGUGUGGUCUUCGUCUUCACGAGGUAGCACUAAAACGAAUAUUCAACGGUUAGGUAAAUUCUGUAUACUGGCGGUGGUAAAACCACUCACCUUUCACCAAUGAGCGGGCGUUUGGAUUCCAGACUGGACCACUAGUGCGGUUUGACUCUGCUACCCUGUUCCGAGAAGGUAUUCCGAAAGCACAACGACAACGCCUUAGAAAGGGUCCCUUAAAAAUUGAACUUACAUUAAACUGAGUUUACACAAUCUGAAGUAUCUCAUGCACUAUUAUCACAUAAGGAGUUUAAGAAACAACGGCGGCCAAGCCAGCGAAAGCGUUGCUUGAAACUAAACAUUUGGGAAAUGGUACAAUUCCAGGAGUAGAUGCCCAGGAGCAUGCAACUCCCAUGCUAAGCCUAUGUCACGGCAUUUUUCGCCAUUCCACCAAGCAUACCACUGUUUUCUGGGGUUGCUGCAGCCGUCGUCUUUGCGUAAAGAGGGGAUAUUACACGGUGGUGCUAAGAUAUGAAUUCUAUUUUCAAGCGACAAAACAAUAUUUUACGAACAAGCGCAGCGAGUGAGUGAAAUAUUGUUUUUGAUUUUUUUUUAUUAUAUAGACACGAUUUUUUUACUGGAAAAAUUGCCGAAAUUACGUUAUCGAUGGAAAAUUAACCACUCAAGUCCCGUAUGUUGUUUUUAUGAAGUUACGAGUGGUUAUUUUCCAUUAAUACACUCGUGCCUAUGUAAUAAAAUCCCCACCUUCCAAAUUCUAUAAUAUAGUACUGAAAUUUAUAUUAAAUGCUCGAUGUAUAACCCAAUACUGCAGGCCCGUUCUGGCAAACCGGAUCAGCACCUUUAGGCUCAAUGUGAGAGUUGUAUGUUGUUAGGGUCUUUUGCUCCAGUAUAUGAUAGUUAUGCUUUUAAACUGCUACGAACGAGUUUUCUCAGGGUAAACACAGGCCGUGUUUUCACGAGCGGUUUUUCUGCUAACUUAUAGCGAGUGACAACCGGAAAUCACGUGAAAACAGUCGCUUUUCCAACUCGCUUAAAGUUAAGCGAGUCGGCAAAUUUCAGUAGCAUUCUCAUUA